rnacentral:lncRNA from 1 species
AAAACCCCGGCAGUAUUUCCCCACUCGUUUAUCACUCAACACAACAUCUCCAUCAUCAAUAAUAUCCUCUACAACAUCAUAACCACAAAUGCAAGGGUGAGCUAAGAGAAUCAACAUCAAAAUCACAUAUAAUAAUACAAUUAUAUUAAUCCAAUUAUCAAAUAAACUCCAAUUAUCACAUAUAAUGACUGGUAUGUUGGCAUGGAGCGAGAACUUUCACAAGUAGUGUGAUUGAGUGUGGUUGUUGUUGGCAUAAAGUGAAACCUUUCACAACGAGUGUGAUUGAGUGUUGUUGUUGUUGCUGAG